rnacentral:rRNA from 1 species
CAGCACCUCAAGUGGUCAGGAUGAUUAUUGGGCCUAAAGCAUCCGUAGCCGGCUCUGUAAGUUUUCGGUUAAAUCUGUAUGCUCAACAUACAGGCUGCCGGGAAUACUGCAGAGCUAGGGAGUGGGAGAGGUAGACGGUACUCGGUAGGAAGGGGUAAAAUCCUUUGAUCUAUUGAUGACCACCUGUGGCGAAGGCGGUCUACCAGAACACGUCCGACGGUGAGGGAUGAAAGCUGGGGGAGCAAACCGGAUUAGAUACCCGGUAGUCC